UUACCAGAGUACUAUGAAUCUUUAAAAAUUUAAAACUCAAAGAACUUGGCGGUGUUUUAGACCACCCAGGGGAACCUGUCUCGUAAUCGAUAAUCCACGUUGCACCUGACCUCUUUUUGUUUUCAGUUUGUAUACCGUUGUCGUCAGGUAACUUUUUAGAAAUUAGGAGUUAGCAAUGAAAAUAUUGAUAAUUUAUUAUGUCAAAUCAAGGUGCAGCUAAUAAAGAGGGGAGGAUGGGUUACAAUUAUAUAAUUUAUAAUGACGGGUAAAUAUAUGGAUAUGUGUUGAAUUAUAAGGAGGACUUGGAAGUAAAUUAGAGUAUAUAGAUAAUUUGAAUUAGGCUCUGAAACGUGU
rnacentral:rRNA from 1 species